rnacentral:rRNA from 1 species
UAGCAAUACGAUGGAAAGUCUAGUGGCGAACGGGUGCUUAACACGUGGGCAACCUGCCAGGAAGUGGGGGAUAGCUCGCCGAAAGGCGAAUUAAUACCGCAUGUGAUUAGAGAGGACAUCCUUUCAAAAUUAAAGUCGGGGCAACCUGACGCUUCUUGUGGGGCCCGCGGCCUAUCAGCUAGUUGGUGAGGUAACGGCUCACCAAGGCUUUGACGGGUAGCUGGUCUGAGAGGACGACCAGCCACACUGGGACUGAGACACGGCCCAGACACCUACGGGUGGCAGCAGUCGAGAAUUUUUGACAAUGGGGGAAACCCUGAUCGAGCGACGCCGCGUGGAGGAUGAAGGUCUUCGGAUUGUAAACUCCUGUCAUUGGGGAACAAUGCACAGAUAUUAACUGUAUUUGUGUUGAUAGUGCCCGAAGAGGAAGAGACGGCUAACUCUGUGCCAGCAGCCGCGGUAAUACAGAGGUCUCAAGCGUUGUUCGGAUUCAUUGGGCGUAAAGGGUGCGUAGGCGGCGCGGUAAGUCGGGUGUGAAAUCUUGGAGCUUAACUCCGAAACUGCAUUCGAUACUGCCGUGCUUGAGGACUGGAGAGGAGACUGGAAUUCUCGGUGUAGCA